rnacentral:rRNA from 1 species
AGCAAACGCUGGCGGCAGGCCUAACACAUGCAAGUCGAACGAAGUCUUCGGACUUAGUGGCGGACGGGUGAGUAACACGUGGGAACGUGCCCUUUGGUACGGAAUAACUCAGGGAAACUUGAGCUAAUACCGUAUGUGCCCUUCGGGGGAAAGAUUUAUCGCCAUUGGAGCGGCCCGCGUAGGAUUAGCUAGUUGGUGGGGUAAUGGCCCACCAAGGCUCCGAUCCUUAGCUGGUCUGAGAGGAUGAUCAGCCACACUGGGACUGAGACACGGCCCAGACUCCUACGGGAGGCAGCAGUGGGGAAUCUUGCGCAAUGGGCGAAAGCCUGACGCAGCCAUGCCGCGUGAAUGAUGAAGGUCUUAGGAUUGUAAAAUUCUUUCACCGGGGACGAUAAUGACGGUACCCGGAGAAGAAGCCCCGGCUAACUUCGUGCCAGCAGCCGCCGUAAGAC